rnacentral:rRNA from 1 species
UGAACGCUGGCGGCGUGCUUAACACAUGCAAGUCGAACGAGAAAGGGAUUGCUUGCAAUCCUGAGUAGAGUGGCGCACGGGUGAGUAACACGUAGAUAAUCUACCUUCAAGCCUGGGAUAACUAUUCGAAAGGAUAGCUAAUACCGGAUAAAGUUUUUCAACAUAAGUUGAAUUAUGAAAGAUUGCCUCUUCUUGAAAGCAAUUGUUUGGAGAUGAGUUUGCGGACCAUUAGUUAGUUGGUGGGGUAAAGGCCCACCAAGACAGCGAUGGUUAGCUGGUCUGAGAGGAUGAUCAGUCACACUGGAACUGGAACACGGUCCAGACUCCUACGGGAGGCAGCAGUGAGGAAUUUUGCGCAAUGGGGGAAACCCUGACGCAGCAACGCCGCGUGAGUGAAGAAGGCCUUUGGGUCGUAAAGCUCUGUCAACUGGGAAGAAGUUGUACAUAUCCAAUAGGUGUGUGCAUUGACGGUACCAGUGGAGGAAGCGCCGGCUAACUCC